GGCUCGCACACACUAUAGCUGAAAGCGGAGCUGAAAUCAAAGCUGAAAGCUCAGCUGAUCUGAGAGCUUUUCUCAGGCAGAAUCAGCUUGCAGGUGCGUACAUUGUCGGCUGAUCUGAUUGCUGAAAGCUGAAAGCCAUAGACUCUCUCUCUCUUUAAACGUUACCAAAAUGUUGUCGUCGCGCGUGCGUAAAUUGUUGCUGUGCGAAAAUGUGCAAAUGAAAAAACUAUUAAAUGAAAGGAAAAUACGCAGAGAGAUUUGGGUGCACGAAAUUUUUCGGAUUCGCCCGGUACUUGGGGAAUUUCACCAUAUGUAUGAGCAGCUUCGAACGUUCCCAAUAAAAUUUGCCGAAUACGCAAGAAUGCAGGUGGAGACCUUUGACUAUAUUUUAAAUAAAAUUGAAUCGCGAAUUCAAAAGCAGCAGACAUUCCUUCGAGAACCAAUUGGACCCAAAGAAAGACUUUUUGUUACAUUGCGAUAUUUGUCGACUGGUAUUUCGAUGAGAGCACUUGCAUUCAGCUUUCGAAUAGCGGAAAGCACUUUGCGGAAAAUAAUUCCAGAAACAUGCUCAGCGGUUUGGGAAGAAUUAAAUUCGACUCACAUGAUCCCACCAGACUGUACA